CAAGGCGGAUGCAUCCGGAGGGCUGGGGCCACGCCCACCCGCAGAGCAGGCGUGCCGGGUGGGCCAGCCGAGGGCGCACGUGGGACUCCCCCUGCUCUCGCCCGAUGCGUUUCUCCUGCGACCGGCACAUCAGGUGAUAAUGGAAGGCUAUUAUCCUCGAGGGGAUCGUCCUGACCCAGGGGAUGAACGCACGCCUCUUGCAUCUCCUGCGUUGAAAGGCGGGUGGAUCGUCCGGACCCAGGGGAUGAACCCACGACUCUUGUAUCUCCUGCACUGAAAGGCGGGUUCUCUACCACCAGCGCCACCUGGGAAGCCCACCCAUUAAUGGAAGCUUCUGCCCAAAUGCAGCUGAUGCAGCCUGGCAAUGAUGGUAAGUCCAGGC
rnacentral:lncRNA from 1 species